AUUGAGAACUUAAACAGAGAAUAUUGAGGGGAUUGCAUUGAAGGAGACAUUUGUUUCUUUGCUCUCCUGUAUUAUCUGCUAGUUCUCUUUGCUUCCUGUAAUGGUUACUGUUUGAUUCAGUUAGCGGUAAAUUACUGGAAAUUUUGGCUAAAGAAUGAAUCGUAUCUGUGCUGUUACAAAUAUUGUCAGUUUAUAUUUUUAUAAGUUAAAUCCUUCUUCCUGCGAGUUGAAAGCACUUUUUCUCUAUUUUUUUUUUUUUCCUUUUUUAAAGUAAUUCGUAUUUUGCUGUGGAUUCUUGGAUAAAUUGUGGACAGAUGAACAAGGAGGCAGUUUAUUGCAAAUAUAUGGAAAGUAUAUUUUGAUUCCAGUGUGAAAUAAUAUUUUGACAUUAAUGAAU
rnacentral:lncRNA from 1 species